rnacentral:rRNA from 1 species
AUUGUAUCCACGAUUGGGGAAUUUUCCGCAAUGGGCGAAAGCCUGACGGAGCAAUACCGCGUGAGGGAGGAAGGCUCUUGGGUUGUAAACCUCUUUUCUUAGGGAAGAAAAAAAUGACGGUACCUAAGGAAUCAGCAUCGGCUAACUCCGUGCCAGCAGCCGCGGUAAUACGGAGGAUGCAAGCGUUAUCCGGAAUGAUUGGGCGUAAAGCGUCCGCAGGUGGCAUUUCAAGUCUGCGGUCAAAGGUCGAGGCUCAACCUCGAACAGGCCGUGGAAACUGAAAAGCUAGAGUGUGGUAGGGGCAGAGGGAAUUCCCAGUGUAGCGGUGAAAUGCGUAGAGAUUGGGAAGAACACCGGUGGCGAAAGCGCUCUGCUAGGCCAAGACUGACACUGAGGGACGAAAGCUAGGGGAGCGAAUGGGAUUAGAUACCCCAGUAGUCAAUCGUGGAUACAAU